UUUAAUUUCUUUUUUUUUCUUUUGCAGUGCAUGAGGUCCAUAUCUAACUGCUCCUAGAAACGAAGACCCGUGGCUGACAUUCUGCCGUUAAAGCGUUUGUGAGAAACCCUGUCCCUACUUCCUUCGGUGCGGGUUGUGUGUGUACUGUACGACUGCGUGUAAGAUCGGAGCGGAGAUGGUCUGUGUGUUUAUGAUCACAAAUCUGUUUUACUCCCAGGCUGCUCUUAGUUGAUUUGUUAAAAAAAAUAAUUACUUUUCUCUUAGCCACCGAAAGGAACUUUUGUAAAUAAAUGACAGCCGUGUGCUCAUUAGUUAAUUACGGUUUUGGUACUAAACUUCAUUACUCUGCUCUCCUCCCCACUGAGAGCUGGUGUGUGGGGAGUGUAUUGGCGCACUAUGGCUGCCGUCGCAUCAUCCAGGUGGGGCUGCACACUGGUGGUGGUGGAGGGGAUCCCCAUUACCUGUAAAGCGCUUUGAGUGGAGUGUCCAGAAAAGCGCUAUAUAAGUGUUAGCAAUUAUUAUUAUUAUUAUUAUUAUUAUUAAACAGCAACUCGAAUGCGUUGAUGCUGCGCUGAUGAAAAUCCGAUUAUUCUUCAUUUCCGCUGCACAGUUGAUUUCCCAUCCAGCGCGGCGAGGAGGCACAUCCCAGGAGGCAGCUCCGCGACUGUUACACGAAGACCGCCUGCGCUUGGUCUGUCCCUGCCCCCUGCUGGACAUUUGUAGGAUUGCACGAUUUUUAAAUUCGAGAGGGGGGGUUAUAAAGACCACAGGAGGGCCCUCUACUGAAUUUGUUCAUUUGCUGGUGAUCGUUUCACAGCUUAUAACUCCGUUAUCAUCAGGAGGAGCAGAAGUAGUUGCAGUCUUGGUAAGACAGAGUUUUAGAAGCGGCUCCAAGCACUCCCUCUGCGUGGCCGUAUCGGUCUGCAGGAGUUUCAGCGGCUCAUAG
rnacentral:lncRNA from 1 species